rnacentral:lncRNA from 1 species
GAAGACUUUUUCUGUUCAGGAUGGAUGUGGUCCUCUUAUGCUUACGUGACACUUUUAUCUCUGCAAGCAUAUUCAAAAUAUGCUGUAAAUGGUCCCCCAAAAGAAAGUGAACGAUGAGUCCUUGAUCGAUUUGGACAAGUCGCUGCUUAGUGUAAGCCAUAAAGAAUGACUAUAAUGUCCUGACAACAUUGUGAACAUUUGGCUACAGGAGGUCAAGCUCAAAGACUGUGUGGGUGACUCUUAUCCGUAAAGAUCGUCACGGAGGAGUCAGAGCUUGUCUGAUGGUGCUGCUGAUCCCCAUUCAGCAACGCAUUUAAGCAUCUGUUUAUGGCUGUUACAGUCCUGUGGCCAUUCAUCCUGCAAACUGCAGGGGAGCAUGUUUACAGUGGAUUCCCACAUCAGAAGUAGUGACAUCAGUGAUUCCUCUUGCAAUUUCCCAUCGGUGCCCCAGGGACAGGGCUGGUCUUCCUUUGGUAGCACGCGCUGAGGUCUGGGGACAGCAGGUGCUGUGAUACGCCGAAGUGCUCAUGCUCUCCUGAGGCGUUAAAGCCAGGGUAAGUCGCAGGAGUCACUGCAGUGCUUAGCCUGUACGAGGCUCUGAUAGCUCGUUAUUUCUUUAU